GACAAACGCUGGCGGAAUGUAUUAGGCAUGCAAGUCGCACGAGCCUUCGGGCUAGUGGCGGACGGGUGAGUAACACGUGGGUAACCUGCCUCGUAGUGGGGAAUAACUCGCCGAAAGGCGAGCUAAUACCGCAUAACACCCCUGGUGAGAUUCCGGGUGGUAAAAGCUCCGGCGCUAUGAGAGGGGCCCGCGGCCGAUUAGCUUGUUGGUGGGGUAACGGCCUACCAAGGCGACGAUCGGUAGCUGGUCUGAGAGGAUGGUCAGCCACAC
rnacentral:rRNA from 1 species